AAGGAACUUCAGUUGGCCAAACGAUGGAAUUUCUUUGCACCUUUUGCAACCACUUAAUUUCAACAUGACCAAAUUCGGUAGCAAUUCUUUACUGAACCAUGAAGGAAAUAUAGUUCCCAAAUAGUUCUCCACUACUAAGGUUUUCAAGUUAGGAUGCGGUUGAAGACCAUCCAACACAUGCUCAUCAUUGAUCUCACAGCCUUCUGAUUCAUCAUGGGACCAUAAAUAUGCCAGCUUGUAGAUAUUUGGUUUCUCC